AGACUACUGAUCCAGCCACAUCAGCCUUUUGUGAGGUCUGUUUAAAGUUGACUAAAAGUGAACUGCAGGUUCCUGAGAGGUGGACUGUGAGCACAGAAACACAUGUUCAUACAUACAGCUGCAGCAAACUUACAUUAAUUUUAAAUAGAUUUGUUACUCUGAUGUCUGUCUCUGUGUUAGUCCUCUGACAGACUGGUGACCUGUCCAGGUGUGCUCUACCUAUGACUACUGGGACAGGCUCUAGCCUCUGUAAUAGAAAUGUUCUGUUAUUCUCAUUUAAAGUAUUUAAGUGCUUAUGCAUAUGCUUAGUUGUGACACUGUUACUGUUCAGUGAAAGUUUCUAAAACUAGAUGAACUUACUUCAGCGUCAGCAGUUUGAGAAAACAACUCCCUUUACAGGUGCUGAUAAGGCCAAGGGCACAAAACAGCAUAACCAUUGAUCCGUUGAAGUGUGAACAGUUCUCCACAGUCGCUGUCCACAUGGGUCAGUGGGACCAAGAAGCACUCUGCUAAUGUGGGACUCUGACCAGCAACAUCCAGCAAGACCCAGACAGCGUUUUCUAUCUCCCAGCUGGAGUUUUUUGUUUGUCUGUGACUGGAGAGUCAGAUUUUUGUUGAGCUUCACACUUGCAGAGGUUAAUACACUCUACUGAUCCCUGAUGGGAGAAUCAUCAAUUUUGGCAACAAAGAAGCCUGGUGGAUGUUUGUUUACAGUCUGAUGAUGGGACAUCAUGCUCUGCAUCUUCAAAGUUUGCCUCCUCAUUAUUAUUCAUACCCAGUAAUGUGAAGUAUGCUUAUAUCUACUAUAACUGAACCAACCUGGUGCUCUUCAUUUAUGGAGGCUGUUGAGUCUGAAUGUUGGAUGUUGUGUAUCUCGUGUUCUCUGGGCUUUGUUGUCCUCAGUCUUUUUGCAGGAUCAGAAAACAAAACCAGGAGGCGCGUAAAUGUUUCUUCUCCAUGAUGUUUCUUCAAAUGUUUCUUCUGGAUGAUGAUAAGACUGUGACACGGGAUGCCACCUUUGGUCUUGUGAUGAAGCAAAGCUCAGGAAGAAGUGGGAUUAAAUGGUACCCACAUGUGUGCUGCUGAGAAGGAUGUACAGGGGCACCUGCAGCCAAAUCCAAGCCUCAGAGCAGAGCAGCAGUUUGUGCUCACAGAUGGUGACGGUGUGGAGAGACGGUGGUGUUUCCUCAGAAGAACCAGCAGAGUCACAAAGGACACCAGUCCAUCUCACCACCGUGACUCGCUGACUGAUGCUCGUCUGCACUGCACAGAGGAAAUCAGCUGACCGAGGAGUGUUUCUGAGUGAGGGGGGAGGAGUCAUCAUCCAGGUAAAGUGACGUGGAUCAGUGGAUACACUUGUCUCCCCUUUAAAGGAGACGAUCCAAGUCAUCCUUAAAUAUGGGCAGCAUAUCAGUCUUGGACUGUCUAACCUGCCGGAGCAGCACUGAAUGACCACCACACAUGAGCAUGUUCCUGCAACAUUCAGCAUCUGAUCCUUCAUCUGUGUGCUUCUGCUUUUGUGUCACAUGUCCAACAGCUGGAGAGGAAACUACACCAGUGUACUGGGAUGUUUCAGCAACACGUGCCAGAUGCUGUUCCUUCAUGGUGACAUCACCAGAGACAGCCCCGCCCACCUCAGGACCUCGCCAUUGAUCAUGAUGAUUAUAAUGAUGACAGCGAGCAGAACUAAGACUGUAAAAAUCCACGACCAGAAUGUUUCUUUCUAAUUAUUAAUGAAUACUGAGCCUCUUUCUGUGUUUUGUCUGUUUUGGGUUUUUACCUCAUUUGUUACUAACAAAGUUCACAAACUCACACAGUUUACAUUCUGUAUGUUUCCAUCUUUACCAGCCACACUCUAACUGCAUUUAAGAAAAUAAUCCUUAGAAAUCGUCGUUUUUCUCUUUUGUAAUUGAUGAUAAUUCAGUGAAUAUACUGCGCUGCUUCCUUUUAUUGCGUCACACAUUGCUUUAAGUUUUUCAGUGUCCAGUUAUUUUUUACUGCUGUUUGAAUUCUCUGUAUGUUUGACCCUGUAGACUGUUUGAUGGACUGCUUGUCUUCCUGUUUGUUACCGCCGCCUGUUUUUUAAUAAAGAUUUGGAUUUCUGACUUCAA